rnacentral:lncRNA from 1 species
GUUGGAUUCUGAUCAGCCUUUGACCUCGUCUUUAAGGCACAAAUAAUGUGAGCUAGAAUCAGUAAAUCAUUUAUAGGUCAAGCCGGUGUCAAGCCCAUUAACUCCCUCAAAACAAACUCAUUUAAAGCUUGGAAGUUACAUAUUUGUUUUUGGUGCUUUAAAUAAAAAACAUUUUUCCUUUCAGAAAUGCAUUAUCCUGAGGGCUGGUGCACUUCUAAAAUAUCUACCGAA